UUUCAGACACUGACUGUGAUCCAACAAAUAAUGACGCUUCAACCGGUGAGUCAGCUGUAUGUCAAGCUGUAGAUAAAAACGCAGAAUGUCCAGACGGUGCAGCAAAAUGUGCAUGCAAAUCUGGAUAUAAAGAAGGAUCUCCGAACAGUACCACAUGCGUUCUUAAGUCGGUUUCAGAAAUUGGCUGUGAUCCUUCAAGUACUGACGCUACAACCGGCGGAGCAGCUGUAUGUCAAGCUGUAGAUAAAAACACAGAAUGUCCAGACGGUGCAACAAAAUGUGCAUGCAAAUCUGGAUAUAAAGAAGGAAAUCCGGACAGUAAUACAUGCGUUCUUAAGUCGGUUUCAGAAACUGACUGUGAUCCUUCAAAUACUGACGCUUCAACCGGUGGAGCAGCUGUAUGUCAAGCUGUAGAUGCAAACACAGAAUGUCCAGACGCUGCAGAUAAAUGUGCAUGUAAAUCUGGAUACAGAGAAGGAUCUCCGGAGAGCCAUACAUGUGUUCUUAAGUCGGUUUGAGAAACUGACUGUGAUCCUACAGAUGACAGUGAUACAACAGGUGGGGCAGCUGUGUGUAAAACUGUAGAUGAAAACGCAGAAUGUCCAACCGGUUCAACAAAAUGUGCAUGCAAAUCUGGAUAUAAACAGGAUGCAACUAAUGUCAAUACCUGCGUUGCCGAAUCUUCUGCUUCUUCGGUCUGGAUGACAACCAGUAUGAUUCAAACGUCCCUGCUGGUAUUUGUGCUCAGAUUGAUGUACUAGUUAUCAAAGGUGGAACAAAGAAAGAAUAACUGACUUCAAGAAGAUUUUUGCAAUUAGCUUUUCUUUCAUGGCCGCAGUUCUUCACGUUUGUCUUAAAACGACCUAAACAUGGAGUGAAUUCUACGCAUGUUUUCUUGAACAUUUUUUAUAGAACUGCAUACACAAUAUUUCAAUUAAGUCAUAAAUGAACAAAACAUCUAACGUAAAUUAAAAUACUGUCCAUAUUAUAGGUACGGGAACACUUAGAAGUUUUAAACAUUUUCUCAAUAUAUAUAAAAUUUUCAAUAUUAACACAGACGCGACCGCAACCAAAAAUGACGAUAACUUUGGUUAAAGAAGCUUAAGUUUUUUUUCUGGCUUACUUUGGACAUUGCUGAAACAUUCUCAUGUAUUGUAACUAUGGCAAAAUAUAAAGAUAAAAAGUCUAGUAGAAUAUAAUAAAUACAUUUUUUUCAACUAUCAUGAGUUAAAUAUGGUUUCCAAGUGGCGAACGUCGUUUGUCAAAAGCUUUCUGGAAUGUUAAGUGUUUGCUUAUUUGUAGAACUUAGAUAAUGUUUUGUAAUAGCAUACUAAAUGAAGGUCACCAGCUUUGUUUUGAAUUAAUUCUUUAGCAUGCUCCAAAUAGUAAAAUGUACUAAUCUUGCUUUACAAUGUUACAAUUUAAUACAGGAUAGUUGUCAAUACUAAAGAAAAUGUUUGGAUUAAGAAAUGUUUUCAUUUUCUCAGAGCGAUAACUGAAACAAGUACGAGAAACCCAAACAGUGAAAAAUCUUCCAUUGUUGUAGAAACGUUUUUUAGUAUACACAAUGAGUUGAACAUUAUUUUGUUCUAACUUUUGUGUAAAAUAAUAUAUACAUUUAACGAAGUACUCCUCCUUAUUUUCAAAAUAAGUCUGAAAAUAAUAACUAUCUUCUGGAAAUUUGAAAAUGAUACCAGGUCAAAAGUAUAAUGUUUACGAAUAACAGUUGACUUACACAGUUGAGCUUCGAUCUCUCGAACUCAACAGAAUGGACAAAGUGUUUUCGUGCUAUCGGAAAAUUGAGCCAUCAAAAGUUAUACAUUAUAAAGAGAUUUGCCGAGAUCUCACGAUUAAUUUGAGCGGAUGAUGGCAAUCGAGUUAUUCGAGUUUGAGUGAACGAAGUUUGAUUCGAAUUAGAAUCGAUACAAAAAACAAGAGUGGUUUGAUAUUCAAAAUCAUACAUUUCUUUUUUAAAAUUUCCUUGCGUUAGUCUUACGUUUCAAACUAUCUCUGAAAACAAACUUUUCCGAAAAUGAAAUUAUUUGACAAAAAUGAUUUGACUGCAGUAAUCGUUAACAUUGUCUUGAAUAAAUCGUUACAGUUUUUAGAAUAUCUAUGAAAUAAACUGAGGGGAACCAACUUUGUAUACCCAGACAAUAGCAUGCUUUUUUUAAAUUUUCAUUUCAUAUUUGUUAUAUACAGUCAAUUCCGGCUAUAAAUACCACCUUUGGGAGAGCCAAAAUGUGGUCUUUAUUGGGAGGUGGUCUUUAUUCACAGGUUAUAAUACACUGUAAAUGUUAAAAUUGGAAACAAAACAUGUUGUCUUUAAAGACAGGUGGUCUCUGUUCAAAGGUGGUCUUUAACACAGGUUUGACUGUAGAUUGUCAUGUAAUAAUUACACAUACAUUUUAUUAAGAAAUACAGUAGAGCUAUGUAUUGUGCAUGAAGUCAGUUAUCAUUUGUGGCCACUGUCUAUGUUGUUUGCAGUGUAAGACGUUUUUACAUUACUUUUUACAUUACUUUUUAUUGUUCAUUGAAAUUUGCAAGUCGUCGAUAUCACAUGCUAUCAUCUAAGGAUGAAAUAAAAUGGUGUUAAAACAAUUACAGAACUAAUGUUGACACUCGUCCGUCUUCGGAUUACAUAGUCUGCAUUAAAAAGUUUGUAUCGAGCCAUAGUGAAAUGUAAUUGACCUUAAACAUCAAUCCAAAGUAGGUAAAAUAUUCAAAAUGUCUCGUUUUAAUUAAUCAAGCAGAAUGUACAAUCAUUUCUUAACGAUAUCGUAUUACUUAACAAUUGUUUUCUCCGCUUUGUUUGGAGCUUUUUGUGUCAUGUCUGAAAAAAAAAAGAUUUUUAAGAAUGAGUUUAAUAUUUGAAAGUCUUUCGGGAAAAAAACUAACCAAAAGUAAUAGUAGCAAAAAACAAGGAUGAAAAUAACAUAGCUAGUCUGUUUAAACUGUUACCUUCUGAAGAGUGGAUUAAAUGAAUUCCGUGUUGCCAGGCAAAAACUUUAUUUUAUAAUAAGACGUUCCUCUCGAGUUUCAUUAAGCAUCAAAAAUUUUCUUGUUGCAGUAUAUACAGAGUUUGUUUACAUAAAAUAACAACUGUUUAUGUUCAAAAUAAACAAUUUCGUUUAGCAUGUGGAUAUGUUUCAACAAUACUUUCAAAAAAUUGUUUAGAAUAUGAAAAAUUGAGAGUAUGCAAACACAAUAAGAUUAAUGACCAUGCGAUGUUGUGUUGAAACAGGCUAGUAGGCAGUCCCGAGUAAUAUCUUGAUUAAUAUGCAUAGCGGCGAACGUUAUCUUUAAAUUUAUAAUAAUAAGUAAAUACUGGAAAACUGUAACAAUAAAAUGUGUUUCAGAUUCUAAUAUCACCAAAAGUUUUCGAGAUUCGACCUUCAAUAUUUUGAAUCUAACUAGAAAUAUUGCUUUUGUGUGUGUGUGUUAAGCUGAACAACAUAGUUGUAUACAUGUGUAAUAUAUUAUUAUACUGAAGAGGAAAUUGCAAAUCUCAGAGGUCGGAAAAUUGAAAAAGAGGUUUGGUCGCUAUGCAUAAGAGAAAUUAUUCCUGCAGAAAACCAAAUGAACGUGACUAAACUUGGUUGUUUAUUUUGAGCCUGUUUUGGUAUGCAAGUCUUUCAACAGUCUUUCAACAGACGCAUUUCAAUAAAACACUGGGAUUGCUAUUAGCAGUUGUGCGUGCUAAAGGA
rnacentral:lncRNA from 1 species